rnacentral:rRNA from 1 species
GGCAUCCUACGGGGCGCAGCAGUGGGGAAUAUUGGGCAAUGGGCGCAAGCCUGACCCAGCAAUGCCGCGUGAAGGAAGAAGGCCCUCGGGUUGUAAACUUCUUUUAUCAGGGACGAAGGAUGUGACGGUACCUGAUGAAUAAGCUCCGGCUAACUACGUGCCAGCAGCCGCGGUAAUACGUAGGGAGCAAGCGUUAUCCGGAUUUAUUGGGUUUAAAGGGUGCGUAGGCGGAAGGUUAAGUCAGCGGUCAAAUGUCGGUGCUCAACACCGGCCUGCCGUUGAAACUGGUCUUCUUGAGUGAGCGA